GACGAACGCUGGCGGCGUGCUUAACACAUGCAAGUCGAACGGAAAGGCCCUGCUUUUGUGGGGUGCUCGAGUGGCGAACGGGUGAGUAACACGUGUGUAACCUGCACCUGACUUAGGGAUAACUUCAGGAAACUGGGGCUCAUACCGGAUAGGAUCUCCUGCAGCACGGUGGGGGUUGGAAAGUUUCGGCGGUAGGGGCUGGUCUCGCGGCUUAUGAGCUUGUUGGGGGGGUAGUGAAUUACCAAGGCUUUGACGGGUAGGCGGCCUGGGAGGGUGACCGGCCACAUUGGGACUGAGAUACGGCGCAGACUCCUACGGGAGGCAGCAGUGGGGAAUAUUGCACAAUGGGCGGAAGCCUGAUGCAGCAACGCCGCGUGCGGGAUGACGGCCUUCGGGUUGUAAACCGCUUUCGCCUGUGACGAAGCGUGAGUGACGGUAAUGGGUAAAGAAGCACCGGCUAACUACGUG
rnacentral:rRNA from 1 species